AGGACGAACGCUGGCGGCGUGCUUAACACAUGCAAGUCGAGCGGUAAGGCCUUUCGGGGUACACGAGCGGCGAACGGGUGAGUAACACGUGGGUGAUCUGCCCUGCACUUCGGGAUAAGCCCGGGAAACUGGGUCUAAUACCGGAUAUGACCUCCUAUCGCAUGGUGGGUGGUGGAAAGAUUUAUCGGUGCAGGAUGGGCCCGCGGCCUAUCAGCUUGUUGGUGGGGUAAUGGCCUACCAAGGCGACGACGGGUA
rnacentral:rRNA from 1 species